ACUUUUUAAAUCCAUAUCCACCUUGUGUGCAAUGUCAGUCGAUCUUCUUUAUGGAGAUUGGCCAAACAUCAACCAUAUCUUUUAACUCUUUGUCUGAAAAAUAUUAUGAAUAAACAAUUCAAAAUACAACUUUCAACAACGGAUCUCUUGGCUCUCGCAUCGAUGAAGAACGCAGCGAAAUGCGAUACGUAAUGUGAAUUGCAGAAUUCAGUGAAUCAUCGAAUCUUUGAACGCAUAUUGCGCUCUUUGGUAUUCCGAAGAGCAUGCUUGUUUGAGUAUCAGUAAACACCUCAAAGCUUUUGAUUUUUUUUUGAAAGCUUUGGACUUGAGCAAUCCCAACACCAGUCUUUUUUAGAUCGGAGGCGGGUUGCUUGAAAUGCAGGUGCAGCUGGACAUUCUCCUGAGCUAAAAGCAUAUUCAUUUAGUCCCGUCAAACGGAUUAUUACUUUUGCUGCAGCUAACAUAAAGGGAGUUUGACCGUAUUGGCUGACUGAUGCAGGAUUUCACAGGGGUCGGCAACGACGCUUGUUAAACUCGAUCUCAAAUCAAGUAAGACUACCCGCUGAACUUAAGCAUAUCA
rnacentral:rRNA from 1 species